rnacentral:rRNA from 1 species
UACGGGGGGGGCAAGCGUUGUUCGGAAUUACUGGGCGUAAAGGGCUCGUAGGCGGCCAACUAAGUCAGACGUGAAAUCCCUCGGCUUAACCGGGGAACUGCGUCUGAUACUGGAUGGCUUGAGAUUGGGAGAGGGAUGCGGAAUUCCAGGUGUAGCGGUGAAAUGCGUAGAUAUCUGGAGGAACACCGGUGGCGAAGGCGGCAUCCUGGACCAAUACUGACGCUCAUGCACGAAAGCGUGGGGAGCAAACAGG